CCCUUAGAUGUUCUGGGCCGCACGCGCGCUACACUGAUGCAUUCAACGAGUCUAAAACCUGGUCUGAUAGGGCUGGGUAAUCUUUUGAAUGUGCAUCGUGAUUGGGAUAGAUGAUUGCAAUUCUUCAUCUUCAACGAGGAAUGCCUAGUAAGCGUGAUUCAUCAAAUCGCGUUGAUUACGUCCCUGCCCUUUGUACACACCGCCCGUCGCUCCUACCGAUUGAAUGUGUUGGUGAGGAGCUCGGAUUGGCAGCAGUUGGUGGUUCGCCACCGGCUAUUGCUGAGAAGUCCUCCAAACCGCCCCAUUUAGAGGAAGGAGAAGUCGUAACA
rnacentral:rRNA from 1 species